GAUGAACGCUGGCGGCGUGCCUAAUACAUGCAAGUCGAGCGAACGGACGAGAAGCUUGCUUCUCUGAUGUUAGCGGCGGACGGGUGAGUAACACGUGGAUAACCUACCUAUAAGACUGGGAUAACUUCGGGAAACCGGAGCUAAUACCGGAUAAUAUUUUGAACCGCAUGGUUCAAAAGUGAAAGACGGUCUUGCUGUCACUUAUAGAUGGAUCCGCGCUGCAUUAGCUAGUUGGUAAGGUAACGGCUUACCAAGGCAACGAUGCAUAGCCGACCUGAGAGGGUGAUCGGCCACACUGGAACUGAGACACGGUCCAGACUCCUACGGGAGGCAGCAGUAGGGAAUCUUCCGCAAUGGGCGAAAGCCUGACGGAGCAACGCCGCGUGUGUGAUGAAGGUCUUCGGAUCGUAAAACUCUGUUAUUAGGGAAGAACAUAUGUGUAAGUAACUGUGCACAUCUUGACGGUACCUAAUCAGAAAGCCACGGCUAACUACGUG
rnacentral:rRNA from 1 species